AGGGCAUUACCCUCAAUGUGAUUGAUGGCAGUACCUUCAAUGUGAUUGCUGCCUGCUGACGUUGACUUCGGUCACUUAGCAAAAGCAGGUUCCUCACCGUAGAGGUACUCCGUGCUUCUUUUCACACAUUUCUCUUUGAAGGAAGUUGCUGUGCACCACUCACAUCCAGGAAGUAUUAUUCCAAUAUUAUAGGCUGCUAAGUUAGAUAGAACUUAAUAUACAGUCAGAAAAGGACUGGGCUGUCAAGGAAAUCAGCAGAAAAAAGUAGAGAUCAGAAUGGUGGCUGGAGACACAUCUGAAGAAUGCCAGACCUCAAGACAGAGAUGCAAUGGCCAGGCCUGUGUGCCUUCCUCGGGCAUAAACAGUAACUGGGAACAGUACUAUAAUUGGGAUCACCUGGUCCAAUAAAAAUCCGGACAGAUAUCCGUCACCCAGGUCCUCUUGAUACAGGAGAAACGUAACUCCCAACCUGCCUUGAUAUUAAAGAAUGAAUUUCAAAGAAGAAAGGAGGUUAAGAGUAGGAAAGGUUUAUUGGG
ensembl:lncRNA